ACGCAGUUUGCAAUCCAUCUUCAUCAUGCGGAAGAAAUAUUACAGAAAAAACUCAAAUCAUGAAAUCUUACAAAGACAUCCUAUCAGGUACUUUUACUACUUCUAUUCCUAUCAAAUCUGGAAGUAAGCAUAAGGGCGUUCCCUCUAUAUCUUUCUGUAAAGAGGAAGUCUCCAUCUUGGCUCAAUGCUUCUCCUUAGCAUUGGUAGCAUCCUUCUCACAAGACCGGCCGUCCUUGGCUUCUUUGAAAACUUGGUUCGAGAAGGUUGGCUUUACGGGAGGACCAUCUAUUGGGCUUCUUGAUGACAGGCACAUUCUGCUGAACUUCACCUCCCAUGAAGAUUACCAGCGAUGCUUUCUUAGGCGUAACUGGACUGUGCAAAAAUUCCCCAUGAAAAUUACCAAAUGGUCUCCGGACUUUGAUCCUAGGUUUGACAAUCCAAUUGUGCCUGUUUGGGUCUCUCUCCAACAUCUUCCAAUCCACUUACACGACAGAAAUGCAUUGUUCUCCAUUGCAAGCCUGCUAGGUACGCCUAUUACCCUUGAUGCUGCAACUGCUUCUUUCUCUAGACCAUCUACUGCACGUUUCUGUGUUGAAAUGGAUAUAUCCUCAGAACUACCUCAAAAAAUAAGGGUAAUGAAUGGGGACACAGAGCUUUACCUAUAUCCCAACUAUGAAAAAGUCCCAUUCUUUUGCAAAACCUGUCAUCAGAUUGGUCAUCAAGAAUCAUCAUGCAGAAAACUCAUAACAGAUGUUCAAUCCAGUGAACCAAGAUCGGAAGCUGCCAAACAUAAGGCAGCAAAUCAAUCUACACAGUUGCCAGGCACAGAAAAGCACUGGGUCCCAAAAGUCACCAAGAAUAAUGUGCAAACAGAAAAGUCCACACUGGACACAAUAAUUCAAAAUAAUACAGAGCAAAAGUCCAACGUGGACACUGUAGCACAGCAUGCUAAUGAGAAAACAGUGCAGUCCAACCUUGAUACAGUAACUCAAGAGAAUCAUUUGACUACCACUUUGGAGAUUAUCGAGGCUAAAAUUCAAAACAAUUCAAUCGAGGUGGUCCCUACUGAAGACAAUAUGGUACAUGAUGAUCAAUUACCUCUUCUCUCAAAUAAUGAAGGUGAAAAUCCCCUGAAAGUUCUGGAUAAUCCUCUUAGCUCCUGGAGUCAUCAAGCAAUAUUGGUACCCAGUGAACCUGCAUACACAGAAAAUAAUUGCAAUGAUGGUCACAUUGAAGACAUUUCUACAUCCCUCACCAAACUCAAUCAGGAAGAGCAGGAACUCAUCAAAGCAAUGCCAGCUCAAAUCAACCUGGACAGAGAGGCAGAAGAAUUUAGUAAAGAUGAUAAUACUACUACAGAGGACACUAAUACUCUGGUAAGACUUGCCACUAGUGAUACUGAAUUUGAUGGGAAGAUGCAUCAUAGAAGAAAGCAACAAUCUAGCAGAAUAUGCACCCGGAGUAUGGCACAAGCUUCUACCCUCACCCAUACCUCAUGAAUUGUUUAUUCUGGAAUGUAUGUGGUGGUAUUCGAAGAAAUGGGAGGAUCUGGAGAAGAAUUGACAGAGUAUUCCACAACCUUCCAAUGACAGACAUUUUCCCCAACCUUACCACUCAAAUUCUAGCCAGAGGAACCUCAGAUCAUAAUCCCUUACUCUUGAAAGGUUGGCUGCCUCAGGGAUAGGGACCAAAAAGCUUCAGAUUUCUUAAUGUUUGGACUUCCCAUCACUCAUUUCAUGACACUGUUAAGAAAAGUUGGGACUCUAAUCCUCCUUGUAAUGGCAUGCAUGGUCUAAUGCUCAAGCUUAAAUUUCUUAAAGAAACACUCAGAAGAUGGAACUCAGAGGUCUUUGGGAAUAUUUUUGACAAAAUUAACAGGGCAGAAAUAACAGCCAGGGAGGCAGAAAUAAUUUUUGAAAAUAAUCCAACAGCAGCAAACAGAGCUCUAGCAUUCCAAAGAAGGGCAGAACUGACAAAAGCAACUAAUGAGGAGUACUACUACUGGAAACAAAAGGCAAAUGUGAAGUGGCUUAAGGAAGGUGAUGCAAAUACAAAAUUCUACCAUAACCUAACCAAAGAAAAAAGAAGACAGCAAGCUAUCUUAACCAUUAAAAGGGAGGAUGGAACAUGGACUGAUAAUCAAGAUGAAAUCAAAGAGGAGGCCAUCCAAUUUUUCUCUAAUCUGUACCAAUUUCAACCAGUGGAGGAAGAUGAGGAUUUCUUCUCAAGUAUACCAAGGAUCAUCACACAAGAAGAUAACUCACAUUUGUUAUCCAUCCCAAAUGAAAA
rnacentral:lncRNA from 1 species